rnacentral:rRNA from 1 species
CCUACGGGCGGCUGCAGUGGGGAAUAUUGCACAAUGGGCGCAAGCCUGAUGCAGCCAUGCCGCGUGUGUGAAGAAGGCCUUCGGGUUGUAAAGCACUUUCAGCGGGGAGGAAGGCGGUGAGGUUAAUAACCUCAUCGAUUGACGUUACCCGCAGAAGAAGCACCGGCUAACUCCGUGCCAGCAGCCGCGGUAAUACGGAGGGUGCAAGCGUUAAUCGGAAUUACUGGGCGUAAAGCGCACGCAGGCGGUCUGUCAGGUCGGAUGUGAAAUCCCCGGGCUCAACCUGGGAACUGCAUUCGAAACUGGCAGGCUAGAGUCUUGUAGAGGGGAGUAGAAUUCCAGGUGUAGCGGUGAAAUGCGUAGAGAUCUGGAGGAAUACUGGUGGCGAAGGCGGCCCCCUGGACAAAGACUGACGCUCAGGUGCGAAAGCGUGGGGAGCAAACAGGAUUAGAUACCCCAGUAGUC